rnacentral:rRNA from 1 species
CCUACGGGAGGCAGCAGUGAGGAAUAUUGGUCAAUGGGCGGAAGCCUGAACCAGCCAAGUCGCGUGAGGGAAUAAGGCCCUACGGGUCGUAAACCUCUUUUGCCGGGGAGCAAGGGCCGGGACGCGUCCCGGCCCGGAGAGUACACGGGGAAAAAGCAUCGGCUAACUCCGGGCCAGCAGCGGCGGUAAUACGGAGAAUGCGAGCGGUAUCCGGAUUUAUUGGGUUGAAAGGGGGCGUAGGCGGGCUGUUAAGUCAACGGUAAAAGCCCGGGGCUCAACCCCGGCGAGCCGUUGAAACUGGCUGUCUUGAGAUGUCGAGAGGUAUGCGGAAUGCGCAGUGUAGCGGUGAAAUGCUUAGAUAUUGCGCAGAACUCCGAUUGCGAAGGCAGCAUACCGGCGGCGAUCUGACGCUGAGGCACGAAAGCGUGGGUAUCGAACAGGAUUAGAUACCCGGGUAGUC